rnacentral:rRNA from 1 species
GUGGGGAAUUUUGGACAAUGGGCGCAAGCCUGAUCCAGCAAUGCCGCGUGCAGGAAGAAGGCCUUCGGGUUGUAAACUGCUUUUGUACGGAACGAAACGGUCCGGGUUAAUACCCUGGGCUAAUGACGGUACCGUAAGAAUAAGCACCGGCUAACUACGUGCCAGCAGCCGCGGUAAUACGUAGGGUGCAAGCGUUAAUCGGAAUUACUGGGCGUAAAGCGUGCGCAGGCGGUUUUGUAAGACAGGCGUGAAAUCCCCGGGCUCAACCUGGGAAUUGCGCUUGUGACUGCAAGGCUGGAGUGCGGCAGAGGGGGAUGGAAUUCCGCGUGUAGCAGUGAAAUGCGUAGAUAUGCGGAGGAACACCGAUGGCGAAGGCAGUCCCCUGGGCCUGUACUGACGCUCAUGCACGAAAGCGUGGGGAGCAAACAGGAUUAGAUACCCUUGUAGUCC